rnacentral:lncRNA from 1 species
UAAAUAAUAGUGAUAGGCGGAAUUUUUGAGAGCAAGUGAGCAAGAGAGUGCAUAAUUAUGUUUAAAUGGAAAGAGACUGUGGGUGUUCCCUCCAAGAUUGUAAUGCUAUUCAAAGGAGCCAGAAAUAUCUAUUGAUCUAUAAGAUUUUUAAGAUUAUUCCAAAAGUUGCUUAGGUCCAAGAAGAAAAGAGGUCAUUUAAGGAAAUCCUACUUUUGACUUCAUCACUCCAUCGCUGCUUAAUCUUCAUUCUAAGUUUGCACUGCAACUAUUCUAUAAUAUUGUAUGGGAUGCUUCCUUCUUUUGCCUACUCAUAUCUUCCUCUCACAUAUACCAGUUAAAUAUAUUAGAUAUUAUCAUGUGUUUUCUGUUUGAGAAAAUUCAAUGGAUUUGUUUUUUCCUUAUAUUUUAGUGAUUUCACAGAGAACAACAACAAGACCUGGGCAGCCUACAAGUAAGUCUCCUUUCAAUCUUAUUAUUACAUUUAUUUCUUAUGAAAUCUAUUUAGAGGCUGAUUUGUACCCUGUUGUGACUUAAGAUUUGUAUUUCUGAUUCUAUUUGCUAACUUUUUUCAGCAUUAAUCACCUUUUAGUUUGUUUUCCCUAUUACUAUUUCUACGUACUUAUUCCAUUUUCAACUAUCGAUGUCUAUUUGGAGACUCCAAUUGAAACUGAUACCUGAUUACUUGAUGUGAUGCUGUGAUAAUGUUUAUCUGGUACUAAUAAUGUGCCUGGCACUGUACUCAAGGCUUUACGUGUGUGUGUGUGUGUGUGUGUGUGUGUGUGUAAGUAUGUAUGAGUGUCUAUAUGUACUUAUGAUAAAUAUUUCUAUUCCCAUUAUAUAAAGAAGAAAAUUGUUGGACUCGGUAACUUGCCCAUGAUCACACAUCUAAGCGCCAAGUCUACCUAACUGACUUUAAAGUCAAACAGUGCCUACAUUCAUCCAAAUGGUCACCCAGCCAUAAUAUAUUUAUGCUAAUGGAUCAAAAAGAAAAGUAUUUCUAUACUUAGCCUAAAAACACAAUUAUUAACAAAAAAAGAAUUGUAGUAUAAUGAUGAUGAUGAAUCAACACAAUCAUUCCAAAGAAGUAAAAGGAAAGGACAGCAUAAGAAGAAGGUAAUAAACUCUUGGUGGUAUAAAAUGCUUUAGGAAAG